CGAGGGGCAUCACGUAGUAGCAAUACUAUGGUGGCGACCGGCGGACGGGUGCGUAACGCGUAUGCAAUCUACCUGUUAUUGUGGGAUAGCCCGGAGAAAUUCGGAUUAAUACCGCAUAUAAUUAUAAUAAGGCAUCUUAUAAUAAUGAAAGAUUAAUUGAUAACAGUUGAGCAUGCGUAUCAUUAGUUAGAUGGUGAGGUAACGGCUCACCAUGGCAACGAUGAUUAGGGGUUCUGAGAGGAAGAUCCCCCACACUGGUACUGAGACACGGACCAGACUCCUACGGGAGGCAGCAGUAGGGAAUAUUGGGCAAUGGGAGCAAUCCUGACCCAGCCAUGCCGCGUGCAGGAAGACGGCGCUAUGCGUUGUAAACUGCUUUUGUGCGGGAAUAAAAUAUGCUACUAGUAGUGUAUUGCAGGUACCGUAAGAAUAAGCAUCGGCUAACUCCGUGCCAGCAGCCGCGGUAAUACGGAGGAUGCAAGCGUUAUCCGGAUUUAUUGGGUUUAAAGGGUGCGCAGGCGGAUAAUUAAGUCAGUGGUGAAAGGUUAGGGCUUAACUUUAACAUUGCCAUUGAUACUGGUUGUCUAGAUGAGAGUUGACGUUGGCGGAAUAUGUCAAGUAGCGGUGAAAUGCUUAGAUAUGACAUAGAACACCUGUGGGGAAGCCGGCUGACGAAGCUUUAUCAUGACGCUCAUGCACGAAAGCGUGGGGAUCAAACAGGAUUAGAUACCCUGGUAGUUCACGCAGUAAACGAUGAUCACUCGUUGUCGGCGAUAAACCGUCAGUGGCUAAGCGAAAGUGAUAAGUGAUCCACCUGGGGAGUACGUUCGCAAGUAUGAACUCAAAGGAAUUGACGGGGCCCGCACAGCGGAGGAGCAUGUGGUUUAUUCGAUGAUACGCGAGGAACCUUACCAGACUUGAACG
rnacentral:rRNA from 1 species